AGAGUUUGAUCCUGGCUCAGAUUGAACGCUGGCGGCAUGCCUUACACAUGCAAGUCGAACGGCAGCACGGGAGCAAUCCUGGUGGCGAGUGGCGAACGGGUGAGUAAUACAUCGGAACGUGCCCAGUUGUGGGGGAUAGCCCGGCGAAAGCCGGAUUAAUACCGCAUACGACCUACGGGUGAAAGCGGGGGAUCGCAAGACCUCGCGCAAUUGGAGCGGCCGAUGGCAGAUUAGCUUGUUGGUGGGGUAAAAGCCUACCAAGGCGACGAUCUGUAGCUGGUCUGAGAGGACGACCAGCCACACUGGGACUGAGACACGGCCCAGACUCCUACGGGAGGCAGCAGUGGGGAAUUUUGGACAAUGGGCGCAAGCCUGAUCCAGCCAUGCCGCGUGUGGGAAGAAGGCCUUCGGGUUGUAAACCACUUUUGUCAGGGAAGAAACGGUCUGAUCUAAUAAAUCGGACUAAUGACGGUACCUGAAGAAUAAGCACCGGCUAACUACGUGCCAGCAGCCGCGGUAAUACGUAGGGUGCAAGCGUUAAUCGGAAUUACUGGGCGUAAAGCGUGCGCAGGCGGCUAUGCAAGACAGAUGUGAAAUCCCCGGGCUCAACCUGGGAACUGCAUUUGUGACUGCAUGGCUAGAGUACGGCAGAGGGGGAUGGAAUUCCGCGUGUAGCAGUGAAAUGCGUAGAUAUGCGGAGGAACACCGAUGGCGAAGGCAAUCCCCUGGGCCUGUACUGACGCUCAUGCACGAAAGCGUGGGGAGCAAACAGGAUUAGAUACCCUGGUAGUCCACGCCCUAAACGAUGUCAACUGGUUGUUGGACGGCUUGCUGUUCAGUAACGAAGCUAACGCGUGAAGUUGACCGCCUGGGGAGUACGGCCGCAAGGUCGAAACUCAAAGGAAUUGACGGGGACCCGCACAAGCGGUGGAUGAUGUGGUUUAAUUCGAUGCAACGCAAAAACCUUACCUACCCUUGACAUGUCUAGAAGUUUCCAGAGAUGGAUUCGUGCUCGAAAGAGAACUAGAACACAGGUGCUGCAUGGCCGUCGUCAGCUCGUGUCGUGAGAUGUUGGGUUAAGUCCCGCAACGAGCGCAACCCUUAUCAUUAGUUGCUACGCAAGGGCACUCUAAUGAGACUGCCGGUGACAAACCGGAGGAAGGUGGGGAUGACGUCAGGUCAUCAUGGCCCUUAUGGGUAGGGCUACACACGUCAUACAAUGGCCGGUACAGAGGACCGCCAGCUCGCGAGAGGGAGCUAAUCUCAGAAAACCGGUCGUAGUCCGGAUCGCAGUCUGCAACUCGACUGCGUGAAGUCGGAAUCGCUAGUAAUCGCGGAUCAGCUUGCCGCGGUGAAUACGUUCCCGGGUCUUGUACACACCGCCCGUCACACCAUGGGAGCGGGUUCUGCCAGAAGUAGUUAGCCUAACCGCAAGGAGGGCGAUUACCACGGCAGGGUUCGUGACUGGGGUGAAGUCGAAACAAGGUA
rnacentral:rRNA from 1 species